GGAAUAUUGGGCAAUGGGCGCAAGCCUGACCCAGCAACGCCGCGUGAAGGAUGAAGGUUUUCGGAUUGUAAACUUCUGUCGCGAGGGACGAAGAAUGACGGUACCUCGUAAGAAAGCCCCGGCUAACUACGUGCCAGCAGCCGCGGUAAUACGUAGGGGGCAAGCGUUGUCCGGAAUGGCUGGGCGUAAAGGGAGUGUAGGCGGCCUUGUAAGUUAGAUGUGAAAUCCUACGGCUUAACCGUAGAACUGCAUCUAAAACUGUGAGGCUGGAGUGCAGGAGAGGUGAGUGGAAUUCCUAGUGUAGCGGUGGAAUGAGUAGAUAUUAGGAGGAACACCAGAGGCGAAGGCGACUCACUGGACUGUAACUGACGCUGAGGCUCGAAAGCGUGGGGAGCAAACAG
rnacentral:rRNA from 1 species